rnacentral:tRNA from 1 species
AUUCAGAUAGCUUAUACAGAGCGUAACAUUGAAGUUGUUGAGGAAACUAAAGUUUCUGGAUA